GAUGAACGCUAGCGGGAGGCCUAACACAUGCAAGCCGAGCGGUAUUGUUUCUUCGGAAAUGAGAGAGCGGCGUACGGGUGCGGAACACGUGUGCAACCUGCCUUUAUCUGGGGGAUAGCCUUUCGAAAGGAAGAUUAAUACUCCAUAAUAUAUUGAACGGCAUCGUUUAAUAUUGAAAGCUCCGGCGGAUAGAGAUGGGCACGCGCAAGAUUAGCUAGUUGGUGAGGUAACGGCUCACCAAGGCGAUGAUCUUUAGGGGGCCUGAGAGGGUGAUCCCCCACACUGGUACUGAGACACGGACCAGACUCCUACGGGAGGCAGCAGUGAGGAAUAUUGGUCAAUGGGUGCAAGCCUGAACCAGCCAUCCCGCGUGAAGGACGACUGCCCUAUGGGUUGUAAACUUCUUUUGUAUAGGGAUAAACCUACCCUCGUGAGGGUAGCUGAAGGUACUAUACGAAUAAGCACCGGCUAACUCCGUGCCAGCAGCCGCGGUAAUACGGAGGGUGCAAGCGUUAUCCGGAUUUAUUGGGUUUAAAGGGUCCGUAGGCGGACUUAUAAGUCAGUGGUGAAAGCCUGUCGCUUAACGAUAGAACUGCCAUUGAUACUGUAAGUCUUGAGUAUAUUUGAGGUAGCUGGAAUAAGUAGUGUAGCGGUGAAAUGCAUAGAUAUUACUUAGAACACCAAUUGCGAAGGCAGGUUACCAAGAUAUAACUGACGCUGAGGGACGAAAGCGUGGGGAGCGAACAGGAUUAGAUACCCUGGUAGUCCACGCCGUAAACGAUGCUAACUCGUUUUUGGGCUUUAGGGUUCAGAGACCAAGCGAAAGUGAUAAGUUAGCCACCUGGGGAGUACGCUCGCAAGAGUGAAACUCCAAGGAAUUGACGGGGGCCCGCACAAGCGGUGGAUUAUGUGGUUUAAUUCGAUGAUACGCGAGGAACCUUACCAAGACUUAAAUGGGAAUUGACAGCUUUAGAAAUAGAGCUUUCUUCGGACAAUUUUCAAGGUGCUGCAUGGUUGUCGUCAGCUCGUGCCGUGAGGUGUUAGGUUAAGUCCUGCAACGAGCGCAACCCCUGUCACUAGUUGCCAUCAUUCAGUUGGGGACUCUAGUGAGACUGCCUACGCAAGUAGAGAGGAAGGUGGGGAUGACGUCAAAUCAUCACGGCCCUUACGUCUUGGGCCACACACGUAAUACAAUGGCCGGUACAGAGGGCAGCUACACAGCGAUGUGAUGCAAAUCUCGAAAGCCGGUCUCAGUUCGGAUUGGAGUCUGCAACUCGACUCUAUGAAGCUGGAAUCGCUAGUAAUCGCGCAUCAGCCAUGGCGCGGUGAAUACGUUCCCGGGCCU
rnacentral:rRNA from 1 species